GAAGAACCUUCCCUACUCUUGACAUCCACCGACCCCUUUAGAGAUAGAGGAGUGCCUUCGGGAACGUUGAGACAGGGGCGGCAUGGCUGUUGUCAGCUCGUGUUGUGAAAUGUUGGGUUAAAUCUCGCAAAGAGCGCAACCCUUAUCCUUUGUUGCCAGCACGUAAUGGUGGGAACUCAAAGGAGACUUCCGGUGAUAAACCGGAGGAAGGUGGGGAUGACGUCAAGUCAUCAUGGCCCUUACGAGUAGGGCUACACACGUGCUACAAUGGCAGAUACAAAGAGAAGCGACCUCCCGAGAGCAAGCGGAACUCAUAAAGUCUGUCGUAGUCCGGAUUGGAGUCUGCAACUCGACUCCAUGAAGUCGGAAUCGCUAGUAAUCGUAGAUCAGA
rnacentral:rRNA from 1 species